rnacentral:lncRNA from 1 species
AAACAGCAAGAUCAUUUUAUGUUGUUUAUGACAAAUGAAAUAGAUGAAUUAUUUAAUUUUAUUCUGCUCAGUAUUAAAGAAGGCUCGCAGAAAGGCCCUGGAGGAGGUGAGUGGAGGAGGGUGAUUGCUCAUCCUUCUCCAUAAUCCUCCAAUCCUACUCAGGGUCAAGAGUAGGUACAACAGGAGCAACAACAAAUCUAUGCAGACUAUGGACAGUGCACUUCUCUGAGCAGAUUUAACGGCUAACCAAAAUUGGCGGCCAUGAUCCCUCGUCCGUUUCUGGCGGUGGCACCUCGUGUUGUCCCAAACAUGGCUACAGACACAGAGGAGGACAGUGAUGAUGAAAUACAGGAGCCCCAUCCUGGCCCAGGAUCUCUCUUCAAUGUGAACAACAGCAACAAUAAUGAAGAGUGAGUCCAGAUGGUCUGUUAAUGUUUGUGUGUGUGUGCCGUGUGUGUCAUAAGAUGUGUUCUUUUCCUCAGGGAGGAUAAGAGAAAGAAGAAAAAGGCCAAGAAAGAAAAGAAAGAGAAAAAAGAGUAAAUAAAUCAAU